rnacentral:rRNA from 1 species
UACGUAGGGGGCUAGCGUUGUCCGGAAUCAUUGGGCGUAAAGCGCGUGUAGGCGGCCCGGUAAGUCCGCUGUGAAAGUCGGGGGCUCAACCCUCGGAUGCCGGUGGAUACUGUCGGGCUAGAGUGCGGAAGAGGCGAGUGGAAUUCCUGGUGUAGCGGUGAAAUGCGCAGAUAUCAGGAGGAACACCCGUAGCGAAGGCGGCACUCUGGGCCGAUACUGACACUGAGGAGCGAAAGCGUGGGGAGCGAACAGG